GCCGAAUAAAAUAAAAUUUUAACAAGUUGGACCACUUUCUUAGGGUCUCUAAAUCUUCUUCAUCCCACAACUCUCGCCGUCCGAUCUUCUUUCUCUCUCUACAUCUCUCCGUUGAAUCUAUUUCCUUCUUCUUCUUCUUCUUCUUCUUCUUCUUCUUCUUCUUCAUCUUCACUGUUACCUUGUUAUCUCAAUUUUCAGUUAUAGCUGUAUCAAACUUGUUGGUAGUAAUGGUAAUUUGUU
rnacentral:lncRNA from 1 species